rnacentral:lncRNA from 1 species
AAACUAGGUGUUGUUUCUCGGUGAUUGUGGGUUAAAAGGUGAGGGUGACAAAGCUCCUUUGAGCUCUGUUAAGGGAGCAAGGCUUGCCGCAGCUUCGCCGUGCUGGGUCAGAUCACCUGCGCAUCAGUGCCAGGUUUCUGCCUCUCUCAAUAGCCGGUAUCUCAUGUUCUAGCAAAAGGUCGAACUCUGCUGGUAAUGUACUUGGCUAAUUGGAUAAUAUUGAAUGUAGAAGAAAAGAGUCUUUUCUCGUUCUCUCCAGACAGGAUUCUCGAUUGCUGUUGGCUUUUAGGUGGUCUGUGUAAGAAGAACUGAUUGUUUCAAUCCAUUUCUAACUGGGAUGAUAACUCCCUUCUCGUCCUUUUGAUCUAACUCGUCCUUUUUUGGCAUCGCGCUGGGGAGACCAAGUCCUGAACAGGGAAUAAAACAGAGCUUUUUGCCAACCCUAUAGAAAUGAUCCCACUGAGAACUCCCUCUGUUUACUCAUCUGCACUUAAAGACUGUCAAUUUUAUUCAGGUAUCUACUCAGUCUCUGAAAUACUUUCCUUAACCUACUUUUAAUGCCUUUGAAGUAUCAUCCGUUUCACUAGUUUGAAGAGCGCUAAAGCCCUCGUGCAGCUGAUAGGCACUUAAGUACUUACUUUUAAACCCAUGAGUAGUUGCACGAGGUGCAUGAGUGUUGCCACGGUUCGACAGCUCUGUCAGUCCGUCUAGUUCGCUCUCCAGCUUCCCACAGCGCUCGGCACCAGAUUCCCGCUGCUCCUCCUCGCCUCCGUCCACCCGCGUGCCAGGGAAAAGAGGAGAGACCCCACCGUGUCCAGGUCCCGUGUCCUCACUGGUACCUCCUCUGCCCUUCCACCGCUGCUGUGAUCACUCGGUUUCUCGUGGGUGUAGCCCCAUCCCUAGAGUCACAACAGUGUAAUAUAUGCUACUUUGUACGUCCUUGCUGUAUGAUUGCAAUGACCGAAGACCGCAGAUGAACUGAAGAAACAUUGUGAAGUCCAGAGAGCCAAGGUAGUGGAACAGAUCACAGCGUUUAUCGUGGUGGUUCAUCGCAAUGUGAACGUUGUCUGAAGCAAGGGGCGGGGGGGCUGUAGAAAACUAUCAUAGAAAUAUU